CAUAUUAGUAAUAUCUGCGUAUUUGAUUCGACGACUCCAAAAACCUCGAGUUUGUCUGUAUAAGGAAUUUAUCUCGGGGCAGAUUUAUGAACGAAUUUAAUGCCUUCGUCGUUAUGAACCCUGGAUAUUCCUUCAGAUAAGGUUUGAUCUCCUGUGAAUGGUCGAAUUCGAUCGUCUGAACAGUAUUUAAAGAUUUAACAAAUGGCAGAGUGUCAAGGAAGACUCAAGAGAAGUCGUUCUGGUGCGGAUUUGACAAGAUAAAUGCGAGCGUGAGGGUGAAUACUGUGCAAUGGAUCUCCUGGUAACUCUUUUCUUGUUUCUAAAUACACUCUUUGCUUUUCUGCUGCCAUUUUGCUCUUCUGCAGAUUUGAGUGGAACGGUUGCCUUUGCGUCCGUUGGCCGUGCUCACUAUGCAUUUGACAUCUAUUCACUACCCAUCAAAUACAAAUCUCCGAACACCUUUGAAUUCUCUGGAUUGGAGGAGGUGAGGAGCACUGAUGGAGUGUCUGUAAAUUUCAAUGGGCAAUUCUUAGAUGUUCCCGCCAUUGAUGCCCUCGCUGCCAAGCUCAACAUAAACACCACAACACAACCUGUGCUUAAUGCCCUAGCCUAUGUCAGCGAGCGGGAUGGUUUGGCCGACAUAUAUCUCGACAUAUACUUUUCUGCUGCUCCAAUUUUGUCUCAGAAAAUCUCUGGGGAUGGAAAUGGUAGACGGGAGAUUCUGGAGAGUCACAAAGACUAUCUUACUGUAAAAUUUGGGGAUCUUGUGGGUAGCAAAGAGGAGGUUUUGUCAAUGAAAGACAGGCCUAGCAUGAAGGGGGACAGAAUGGUUUUUGUUUCCACUGCCAUACCUGCCCAAAAGUCGAGAAACAGCUGGGCUGCGGUGUAUUGUACGAAUUUGAGAACAGGGCGUACAAAGCGCCUGACGCCCAGGGGAAGAGGGAUUGCAGACCUGAGCCCCGCGCUGUCUCCCUCGGGUGAGCUCGUGGCCGUUGCCUCCACUGGCGAAGGCGGUUGGGAGGGCCAGAUUAGGGAUUUAGAGACUGACCUUUAUGUUUUUAGGGCUUCUGAUGGGUUCGAGAGGAGGCUUGUGGCGAAGCAUGGUGGGUGGCCUUGUUGGGCUGAUGAUGACACCUUGUUUUUCCACAGGCAGGCAGAGGAUGGGUGGUGGAGUGUUUACAGAGUCUCGCUUUCCUUCGCCGAGAUAGAGAGAAUCACUCCGCCUGGAAUCCAUGCCUUUACGCCCGCAGCUGCGCCUUUAGGCGGAGCGUCAUGGAUCGUGGUUGCUACCCGUAGACCUGAUUCGGAGUAUCGACAUAUAGAGAUAUUUGACCUGGUGAAGAAGGAAUUUGUGGAGCUUAGCAAAUUGGUGGAUGCCAAUUCCCACCAUUAUAAUCCCUUUGUAUCUGGGGAUAGAAUUGGGUAUCAUCGGUGCAGGGGUGGUGAAAGAGGGCUAAUUCCUGUGCUGGAGCAUAUCAGAUCACCCGCUGCUCUGCCUAACCUUUCUGUCUUUCGGGUAGAUGGGACUUUCCCAUCUUUUUCUCCUGAUGGGAGCAUGAUAGCCUAUAUCCCCAAUAUAGAAUACAGUGGGGUUUAUGUCAUGAACCUCGAUGGUUCAGGUUCCAGGAAAAUAUUUUCUGGCUCCGCUUUUGGGACCGCUUGGGACUGGAAAAGAGCUGUGAUUUAUACCAGCUAUGGACCCGGAUUUUCAUCGGAAAAGACUACAGUUGAUAUUGUGGCUAUUUAUAAUGCUGACAAGGAGGACGGUUCUGAGGUCUUUCAUAAAACCCUGACAAAAAUUGACAACAAUGCUUUUCCUUCGCCUUCCCCGGAUGGGAGAUUUGUGGUAUUUAGGUCUGGGAGGAGUCGACACAAAAACCUGUAUAUUAUGGAUGCUGCGCAAGGUGAAGAGGGGGGUCUGUGGCGGUUGACAGAGGGGCCCUGGACUGACACUAUGUGCAAUUGGUCCCCUGAUGGGGAUUGGAUUGCUUUUGCCUCUGAUCGCCAGCACCCUGGAAGUGGCAGCUUCGCCAUGUAUUUUGUGCAUCCUAACGGAACCGGGCUGCAUAUGGUUUUGAACAGUAGUACAGCUGGGCGGGUGAAUCACCCCUGGUUCAGCCCGGAUUCAAAGAGUUUGGUAUUUACCUCGGAUUAUGCAGGGGUGUCUGCUGAGCCAAUUUCUGUGCCUCAUCAGUUCCAGCCUUAUGGAGAGAUUUUCAUGGCUAGGGUAGAUGGUUCUGGCCUUCAACGCCUCACUCAUAAUUCUUAUGAAGAUGGAACUCCGUCGUGGGGCAGGGUUUUCUUGGAUCCUAACCAUUUGGCAGGAGAAGGUAACAAGGUUAAAUGUGAUUUUGAUGACGAUACGUGGCUGCAGAUGAACAGUGGACUGCCCAUUGGUUCAGUGAAAUGCUGAAACAAACAAAUGGCACAUGAUGGGCAGGAAGUAUAUAUUCUUUCUUUCUUCGUUGUACAGUGAGUCAGAAGAAAGAUCGGAUAUUCCUGAUAAAUAGUACUAUAUCAUAAUCUACUCUUGAUAGAACCUAUCAGAUUUCACAAUCUGCAUGAACUACUGAAUCUUAAAUGGUCCAGAGGGGUGCACAUGCAGCCUGGAGAAGAAGAGGGAGGAGGAAUCCAAGAAGUUCAAAGGAGAUGAGCAACAACCAUAGAUCCCAUGGAAAGACUUAUUGAGGCUAUCAACAAACAGGGAACUAGAGUUAAGGUUGAGGUUCCUGAUUUCAAAGGUGAAUCAAAUCCUGAGGUGUUCUUGGAUUGGAUUCAAGAAUUAGUAAAAUACUAUGACAUGGAAGAAUUGAGGAAACUGAUCGACGAAGCAACAUCAAAGAUGAAGUCGUAUGUUGGUUUAUGGUCGGAGAAUCUCCAAAACAUUAGGAGAAGUCAAGGGAAGAAGAAAAUCAAAUUAUGUUCAAAGAUGUUAAAACAUUUGAAGGCUAAAUUUAUUCUUAGAUUGUCAACAAAAGUUCUUUAGAGAAUUCCAAAAUCUAAAACAAGAGUCCUCCAUAUCUAUCUAUACUGAACAAUUUAUCAAGCUGUAGGGCAUAACUGAUUUCCAAGAAGAUAAAUGGCCAAGUAUAUUAAUGGGCAUAUAUCCCAACACACAAAUGAACUAGCUUUACUCAAAGUGAAUAUUGUGGAUGAAGCCUAUUAACUAGCUUUAAACGCAUAAGAAAAAUUGAAUAUUUUCAGUUUAGUGGCCAGCGAAAGAGGUAGCAAUUCAAAUAGAUAAAGAGGAAAUUCCUAUAAAUUAACCAAUGAAGGAGAGCCAGAGGAUAAUGUGAAGCCAAACUUCCAAGGGAGGGGUGGUUUUAGAGUUAAAGGAUGAGGACAACAAUUUUCUAGGGGUUGGAAACCUUUGAGGUGUUUUAUUUGUAGUGAGCCUAGAGAAUUGUAGAU